rnacentral:rRNA from 1 species
GGGGCAGCAUGGUCUUAGCUUGCUAAGACUGAUGGCGACCGGCGCACGGGUGAGUAACACGUAUCCAACCUGCCGUCUACUCUUGGACAGCCUUCUGAAAGGAAGAUUAAUACAAGAUGGCAUCAUGAGUCCGCAUGUUCACAUGAUUAAAGGUAUUCCGGUAGACGAUGGGGAUGCGUUCCAUUAGAUAGUAGGCGGGGUAACGGCCCACCUAGUCUUCGAUGGAUAGGGGUUCUGAGAGGAAGGUCCCCCACAUUGGAACUGAGACACGGUCCAAACUCCUACGGGAGGCAGCAGUGAGGAAUAUUGGUCAAUGGGCGAGAGCCUGAACCAGCCAAGUAGCGUGAAGGAUGACUGCCCUAUGGGUUGUAAACUUCUUUUAUAAAGGAAUAAAGUCGGGUAUGUAUACCCGUUUGCAUGUACUUUAUGAAUAAGGAUCGGCUAACUCCGUGCCAGCAGCCGCGGUAAUACGGAGGAUCCGAGCGUUAUCCGGAUUUAUUGGGUUUAAAGGGAGCGUAGAUGGAUGUUUAAGUCAGUUGUGAAAGUUUGCGGCUCAACCGUAAAAUUGCAGUUGAUACUGGAUAUCUUGAGUGCAGUUGAGGCAGGCGGAAUUCGUGGUGUAGCGG